CGAGAGAGAGAGGUUCCACUGGAUUCCAGGCUUCCGUGGUCAGAAGGGAGAAGCAGGGCAGCCAGGUAUCUCAGGAGAAGCAGGAGCAUCUGGUAAAGAUGAUCUGCCUGGCAUGAGAGGAGAGAAGGGAGAGGUUGGGUCUGUAGGUCAGCGAGGCCUCAAGUUUGACAGGGGUUUAAUGGCUUACAGGGAGAACGAGGCUCCAAGGGAACAUGUGGACCAAGCGGACCAAAGGGAGACAAGGUGAGUAAUAAGGAGAGCUCAAGGAAAGUUUUUGUUGUGUCACCAUGUUUUGCUGGAAGUG
rnacentral:lncRNA from 1 species